rnacentral:rRNA from 1 species
AUUGAACGCUGGCGGCAGGCCUAACACAUGCAAGUCGAACGGCAGCGGGGGAUAGCUUGCUAUCCUGCCGGCGAGUGGCGGACGGGUGAGUAAUGCAUGGGGAGCUGCCCAGUCGAGGGGGAUAACAACUGGAAACGGUUGCUAAUACCGCAUACGCCCUAAGGGGGAAAGGUGGGGAACUUCGGUCCUACCGCGAUUGGAUGCGCCCAUGUGGGAUUAGCUAGUUGGUGAGGUAACGGCUCACCAAGGCGACGAUCUCUAGCUGGUCUGAGAGGAUGACCAGCCACACUGGAACUGAGACACGGUCCAGACUCCUACGGGAGGCAGCAGUGGGGAAUAUUGCACAAUGGGGGAAACCCUGAUGCAGCCAUGCCGCGUGUGUGAAGAAGGCCUUCGGGUUGUAAAGCACUUUCAGUCAGGAGGAAGGGGUGAUGGCUAAUAUCCAUCAUCAUUGACGUUACUGACAGAAGAAGCACCGGCUAACUCCGUGCCAGCCGCCGCAGUAA